UACGGAGGGUGCGAGCGUUGAUCGGAAUUACUGGGCGUAAAGCGCACGUAGGCGGUUUGUUAAGUCGGAUGUGAAAUCCCCGGGCUCAACCUGGGAGCUGCAUUCGAUACUGGCUGACUUGAGUACGAGAGAGGGGGGUGGAAUUCCAGGUGUAGCGGUGAAAUGCGUAGAUAUCUGGAGGAACAUCAGUGGCGAAGGCGGCCCCCUGGCUCGAUACUGACGCUGAGGUGCGAAAGCGUGGGGAGCAAACAGG
rnacentral:rRNA from 1 species